rnacentral:rRNA from 1 species
CCUACGGGAGGCAGCAGGGGGGAAUAUUGGACAAUGGGCGCAAGCCUGAUCCAGCCAUGCCGCGUGGGUGAAGAAGGCCUUAGGGUUGUAAACCCCUUUCAGCGGGGAAGAUAAUGACGGUACCCGCAGAAGAAGUCCCGGCUAACUCCGUGCCAGCAGCCGCGGUAAU